UACCUCUCCUGGAGACACUGCUCAGG
rnacentral:piRNA from 1 species